CGAGGGAUGAAUUUUGACCGUACCUCGCUAGAAAGCACCUGCUAACUACGUGCCAGAAGCCUCGGUAAUACGUAGGGUGCUAGCGUUAUCCGGAUUUACUGGGCGUAAAGCGUCCGUCGGCGUCUUGGUAAGUUUUUCGUUUAAGCCUGGGGCUCAACUCCAGAAAAGCGAGAAAUACUGCCAGGAUUGAGUUUGUUUGGGGGAACUAGAAUUCUCGGUGGAGGGGUGAAAUCCGUAGAUAUCGA
rnacentral:rRNA from 1 species